rnacentral:rRNA from 1 species
GAUGAACGCUGGCGGCGUGCCCAUACAUGCAAGUCGCGCGAACGGACGAGAAGCUUGCUUCUCUGAUGUUAGCGGCGGACGGGUGAGUAACACGUGGAUAACCUACCUAUAAGACUGGGAUAACUUCGGGAAACCGGAGCUAAUACCGGAUAAUAUUUUGAACCGCAUGGUUCAAAAGUGAAAGACGGUCUUGCUGUCACUUAUAGAUGGAUCCGCGCUGCAUUAGCUAGUUGGUAAGGUAACGGCUUACCAAGGCAACGAUGCAUAGCCGACCUGAGAGGGUGAUCGGCCACACUGGAACUGAGACACGGUCCAGACUCCUACGGGAGGCAGCAGUAGGGAAUCUUCCGCAAUGGGCGAAAGCCUGACGGAGCAACGCCGCGUGAGUGAUAAAGGUCUUCGGAUCGUAAAACUCUGUUAUUAGGGAAGAACAUAUGUGUAAGUAACUGUGCACAUCUUGACGGUACCUAAUCAGAAAGCCACGGCUAACUACGUG